rnacentral:tRNA from 2 species
GGGCGAGUGGUGAAAUUGGUAAACACAACGGACUUAAAAUCCGUCGCUCCUAAUACGAGCUUAAGGGUUCAAGUCCCUUCUCGCCCACCA